rnacentral:rRNA from 1 species
AUUGAACGCUGGCGGCAGGCCUAACACAUGCAAGUCGAACGAGUGGCGGACGGGUGAGUAAUGUCUGGGAAACUGCCUGAUGGAGGGGGAUAACUACUGGAAACGGUAGCUAAUACCGCAUACCAUCGGAUGUGCCCAGAUGGGAUUAGCUAGUAGGUGGGGUAAAGGCUAACCUAGGCGACGAUCCCUAGCUGGUCUGAGAGGAUGACCAGCCACCCUGGAACUUAGACACGGUCCAGACUCCUACGGGAGGCAGGAGUGGGGAAUAUUGCACAAUGUGCGACAGCCUGAUGCAGCCAUGCCGCGUGUAUGAAGAAGGCCUUCGGGUGGUAAAGUUCUUUCAGCGGUGAGGCGUUACCCUCAGAAGAAGCACCGGCUAACUCCGUGCCAGCCGCCGCGGUAAUAC